AGCAAAUAAACUUUACAAAUAAUAUAAAUGGUUAAGAUGAUUUCAUAUACAAAUUAUAAAGCCAAAAAGCAGUAGAAGUUAACACAAUAGCUGGUAAGAGCCUGUAGGAGCAGCCUCGCCCUCAUAGAUGGAGACCUUACGCCACCAAGAACACAGACAUCACAUGUGCCUAUGGGAGCAGCCUCAUCGUCACAGUACUAAGCCCCAGUUCCUGGAUGGAUACGUGACAAAACCAAGGCAAUGUUAGUACUAUAUUUAACCAAACAGAAUAUAACAUUACAACGGCAAGAUGAGAAAAGUCUAAGAACUACUCUGUAACUCUUUUGCAUCCUCCUCUCAUCACUGUACUCAUGAUCCUUUCCGAUGCACCAGGAAUUUGAAGCGUCCGCUGCACCAGCAGUGCAUGGUUGAAAUAAGUUGAACACCAAACAUCUACGGAGAUUUUGACCGAAGCCUAUCCAGCCAGGGCUGCGCAGGGUUCAUGGGCGGGGCAACAUAUUUCCC
rnacentral:lncRNA from 1 species